rnacentral:rRNA from 1 species
GAUGAACGCUGGCGGCGUGCCUAAUACAUGCAAGUCGAGCGAACGGACGAGAAGCUUGCUUCUCUGAUGUUAGCGGCGGACGGGUGAGUAACACGUGGAUAACCUACCUAUAAGACUGGGAUAACUUCGGGAAACCGGAGCUAAUACCGGAUAAUAUUUUGAACCGCAUGGUUCAAAAGUGAAAGACGGUCUUGCUGUCACUUAUAGAUGGAUCCGCGCUGCAUUAGCUAGUUGGUAAGGUAACGGCUUACCAAGGCAACGAUGCAUAGCCGACCUGAGAGGGUGAGCGGCCACAAUGGAACUGAGACACGGUCCAGACUCCUACGGGAGGCAGCAGUAGGGAAUCUUCCGCAAUGGGCGAAAGCCUGACGGAGCAACGCCGCGUGAGUGAUGAAGGUCUUCGGAUCGUAAAACUCUGUUAUUAGGGAAGAACAUAUGUGUAAGUAACUGUGCACAUCUUGACGGUACCUAAUCAGAAAGCCACGGCUAACUACGUG